UAACUCUAAUAGUUUCUUAAAUAAAUUAUAAUUAAAGAUUAGCGAAUAUAAUCAAACAUCAAUCAAAUUAAAUUAAAAUUUCAAAGGAAUUAUACAAGAAAUUCAAAGAAUUUCUAGAGACCUUUUAAAAAAAUCAUAAAAGAAUAAUAUAGAAAUUCAAAAAAUAUAUAUUAAAAUAGAAAUAUUAAUAAAAUAUUAAAAUAAAAAUCUUAAUUAAAUCCCAUUCAAAAUCUAGACAAAUCUUAAUCAAACCUUAGUCAAACCUUGAUAAAAUCCUUAUCAAACCCUCAUCAAUCCUUAAAUAAGUCCUAACCAAAUUCUAGACAAAUCCUAAUCAAAUUCUAGUCAAACCUUAAUCAAUCCUUAAAAAAUCCUAAAAAAAUCUUAAAUAAAUUCUAGUCAAAUCCUAGACAAACCCUAAAUAAGUUCUAAUCAAAUCUUAGUCAAAUUCUAGUCAAAUCCUAAUCAAAUCCUAAUCAAAUCUUAAAUAAGUUUUAACCAAAUCUUAAACAAAUCCUAGUCAAACUCUAGUUAAACCCUAAUCAAAUCCUAAUAAAACUUUAAUCAAAUCUUAGAAAAACCCUAAAUAAGUCCUAACCAAAUCUUAGACAAAUCCUAGUCAAACUCUAAUAAAAUCUUAAUAAAAUCCUCAUCAAACCCUAAACAAAUCCUAACCAAAUCCUAAAUAAAUCUUAAUCAAAUCCUAAAAAAAUCCUAAAUAAGUCCUGACCAAAUCCUAAACAAAUCCAAGUCAAAUUCUAAAAAAAUCCUAAUCAAAUCCUAAUCCUAAUUAAACCUUAAAUCAACUCAAAACCCUAAUCCUAACUCUAAAUCAAAUCUUAAUCAAUUCCAAGUAAUUCCUAUAGCAGAUUUGAACCUCAAUAAUUAAUGAAUGAACCAUUGAUUUUAACUCAAAUUUUGCACAUUUUUUAAUAAUUAAGUUGAAAAAAAAUGAAAAAAAAAAACUAAAAAGAAUCGAAAUUAUAAAAUAGAUAAUAAUCUCAAAAAUGUACUCGGAUGUCAAUCAGCCUCCUUCUCCAAUCUUAU
rnacentral:lncRNA from 1 species